UAGCUGUUCAGAAAUCAAAUUUGUGGCUGC
rnacentral:piRNA from 1 species